rnacentral:rRNA from 1 species
UACGUAGGGUGCAAGCGUUGUCCGGAAUUAUUGGGCGUAAAGAGCUCGUAGGCGGUCUGUCGCGUCGAAUGUGAAAACCCGGGGCUCAACCCCGGGCCUGCAUUCGAUACGGGCAGACUAGAGUUCGGUAGGGGAGUCUGGAAUUCCGGGUGUAGCGGUGGAAUGCGUAGAGAUCCGGAAGAACACCGGUGGCGAAGGCGGUCUGCUGGGCAGUAGCUGACACUGAUGCGCGACACGUGGGGAGCAAACAGG